CUCAUUUACAAUUCCAGAAUGAUUAAAUUGGAAAAUAUUGUGGAGGAGGACUUCAGUACUCUGACAGUGGCAAAAAGUAUUGAAUGUUAGACAGUUUAUAUGAAAGAGGUUUAAAAGGCUAAGAACUGAUGUGAUAUCUUUGUCGCCUUUGUGUUUCAGAUCAAUGCAGAAUUUCAAAGAACAACUACUGUACUUCAGGUACCGAAAUUUAUGUCUGUGUUUGACUGUCACACUCCCAAGCUACUGACGCCAUUUUGUGCCAACGAUGGAGCACUUGGAAGAAGACUGGAGAUCAUAAUGGAAAUGCUGCAGUGAUUGACUUCCUCCCCAGCACUCUUCGAUUGAGAGGACCAGAGAGAUUGUUCCUCGGUAUCUUACAAAAAAUACCUUGGAGAACAAGGGGGACAUCUUAUCAAAGAAUUCAACGACACUGAGAACUUGGAGGAACUUGAACAGCUCAUAAUGGCCAUUAAUGUGACCCCAAAGCGUGGAGCUUCUACAAGCAACUGCCCAAAGAACAUUGGGAUCCUCAUUAAGGGCGUGGAAGUCAUCACAGGACUUGGAGAUAUUGCAAGGGCUUGCAUUGUCCUCUUUGGCUUGACCUACGCGCUGAAUCUUGAUUAUCCCAGACUACUGAAGUACACCUUUGAGGUGUUCCAAUUUUUUUUCUUGGAACUGGAUGAUUCAAAGCUUUCUAACAAAGUCCAGUCCCUCAAGAACAAACUUCAGGCUUGAAAUGGGACUGUAUUGCAGUGCAGAGUUUUGUGCUACACAAUGUUCAUCUUCUACAGAGCUUGGGAAUUGCAAUUUUAAGUUGAAGUCAGCAUUUUGUCCUUUUCAAAGUUCUGAAAAAGUUUGAAAUGCUUGAGCAAACUUCUGGCUUUAAAAAAGAGACAGUAGUAGUUGCAGUGUACAUGAUUUGCUACACAAUGUUUAGCUUCUACAGAGCUUGGGAAUUACACAUCUGAAAGUGUUAUGUUUGUAAGUUAGCACUGAUUUGGACUCUUAUCCCACGAAUGUCAGUGAUAUUUCUAGUUCAAAGUACGAAAUGUUUAUUGCUCUGUACAAAUUACACUUUUCUGCUUUUUUUGGUACAUGCACCUCUGGAGGAUUUUCCUUUAAGAUCAUUAUUGACCCAAUUUAGUGGGAUGUGAGAUGAGAAAGCAUGGAAACAGGUUUAUAGACACAUCACAUCAUUCUUUAUGUAAUUUAUUUUUGUUUUUACAAAAUAGUUUAAAGUCAGCAUUCUGUCCUUUUCAAACUUCUGGCUUGAAAUGAGACUGUGGUUGCAGUGUACAAUGAUUUGCUACAAUGUGUCUAAAGCACAAAAGUGAAUUGUUAAUAAAAUUCUUAUUUGA